rnacentral:rRNA from 1 species
UAGUCCACGCCGUAAACGAUGAGCACUAGUUAUUGGGAUGGUUACAUUUCAGUGACGCAGCUAACGCAUUAAGUGCUCCGCCUGGGGAGUACGGUCGCAAGACUAAAACUCAAAGGAAUUGACGGGGGCCCGCACAAGCGGUGGAUCAUGUGGUUUAAUUCGAAGCAACGCGCAAAACCUUACCUGGGUUUGAAAUCCUGAGAAUCCUCUUUAAACGGAGGAGUGCCCUUCGGGGAAUUCAGUGACAGGCGCUGCAUGGCUGUCGUCAGCUCGUGUUGUGAAAUGUUGGGUUAAGUCUCGCAACGAGCGGAACCCCUGUCCUUAGUUGCCAGCAUUAAGUUGGGCACUCUAGGGAGACCGCCGGGGUUAACCCGGAGGAAGGUGGGGAUGACGUCAAGUCCUCAUGGCCCUUAUAUCCAGGGCUACACACGUGAUACAAUGGUUGGUACAGAGGGAAGCGAAACCGCGAGGUCAAGCCAAUCUCAAAAAGCCAAUCUCAGUCCGGAUUGAAGUCUGCAACUCGACUU